UUAAAAAUUAGAGGAGCACAGUAAUAGACGGCCGUGUCCUCCACUCUCAGGCUGUUCAUCUGCAGGUAAAGUGUGCUCUUGCUGUUG